GCCCGCCUAGCUCAGUCGGCAGAGCGCAAGGCCCUUAACCUUGUGGUCGUGGGUUCGAGCCCCACGGUGGGUG
rfam:Symbiodinium microadriaticum strain CCMP2467 Smic.scaffold691, whole genome shotgun sequence.